GUUUAUACUUCGAAUUUUGCCUCAAAUCAUCUUUUGAAAUGGCGUUUUGGUCGUCGGUUCUCGGUUGUCACUCAUCAAACCCCUGCAUUAAUAAUUCAGGAAGUUGUUGAUGGAAAAAAAGUUUUUGUGUGAAGAGAUAGACACCAUCUUAAUCAGCUUGAGUUGAAUUGCCGCAUGUAAUCUGUGUUUCUGGUGUGAUGAGCUGCUGCAUGCGAUCCGUGGUGUUGGUGUGAUGAGCUGCUAUAUGAAGUGUUCACAGUCUGACCUGGUUUGACUUUUGCCGCUUUGGCUGAUUGCAGAGAUGCCAAACGAUUGCAGACGUUUUUAAAUUGCAAAAUUGAAAAUGACAAUGUUACGUGGUUCCACCAUUUUUUCCGAGACAUUGAGCCAGGAGCAGGAUGUCGAUUGAAUGCUCUCUCUUUUACAUUUUGAUGAAAAUUAAAAAGAUUCAACAUGACUGUUUUAUGCAAAAGUUAGUUGGAACUCUAAUUCAAAUACAGAUAUAACCGUUGCUGCUGCUGCCUUACAGGUUACAGCCACAGGCAGGACAAUUAUUCUUUUCUUCAGAAAAUUUUCGGAAACAGAGUUCGGAAAAAGCAAUCCAUCCGUUCCGUACAGUCAAACGUGGUAAUCGUGGGGGAAUCUUUUGGCUGUCGGUAGGUGGCUAAAAUGGUUUGUCCCCCCAGCCACUAGGUGACGCGAGUGUCUUCGUGAGGACGAAAUAUUUGUCAUUUGUUUCCGAAACGCUGAAUGAAAGUUGUGAACGAAGAGUGAAAAUUCAUUACGAUUACGGAAUUGCGGUGUCGAUCUACAUUUUCAGCCAUGAAAUGGCAAUCUGACAUGUAAUUUCACUUGGCCAAAUAAUGUGACGACGUGGGUCGAAACUGCUGUCCAUUUUGCCGAAAUGUCGGCCAUUGUCAGCUGUACCUAUACGACUAUACGUCUCAUCUCGUGCUAAAGCACUUCAGAGCUAGUAAAGUCAAAGACGGAGAUCCCUUUGCUCAACUGUUGCAGAAAUCGAGAACACAACAAAGUCUGAGCUUCAUGGUUGUUGUAUCAUUAGUGUGGUUUUGUUGCAGCCAGCUGGUGAAAGGUGUGAUCAAGUCAAGUUGAGCUGCAGCUAAUGUAUGCAGUUUAUCAAAAUGUUGUUUUCCCUAUUGUCACAACAGGAAGACUUCUUGAAUCGGAGUUCAUGGUCAGUUUCAUGUUUGAGCUGUUUAUGGCGUUGCUGUUUGGUGUACAGUGGUUUUGAAGUCCCUAUCCAGUUGAGAGAUGCUCUGAAGCAGACUUGCAGUCAACAUCACACUUGACUUAAAUGUGUCAUUUGCCUAUGUUGGUGUCCAUCGGCAUGCAGUAUAUGCCGUGUUGAAAAGUUGGGUAAAAUAGUCGAUGUUGCCUGAUGGCUGUCGGUCUUGUUUUAUCGGCUGCAUUUUUCGAUAUGUAUUUUUCGUGUUGAGUUUCAUCGUUUGCUGCCGUUCCAUAGACUUGAUCCAUUAGAAAAACUGAGGAGAGGUUGCUGAAAUUCAAGACUCGUCAAUAUAAAUUAUGUAGAUGUA
rnacentral:lncRNA from 1 species